rnacentral:tmRNA from 1 species
GGGGGCGCACUGGCUUCGACUCAUCGUUGGAAGCGCAGGCGGCAUGUCGAGGACGGUUCGUUGGCCUCGUUAAAAACCGGACCAAAACAAAUAAACGCAGAUCACCAAGAUCUCGCUCUCGCGGCUUAAUUGACCGUGACGUUUGGAGUUGGACGCCUGCUAC